rnacentral:rRNA from 1 species
AGAGUUUGAUCCUGGCUCAGAACGAACGCUGGCGGCGUGGAUAAGACAUGCAAGUCGAGCGGGAUUUCUUUUGGUAGCAAUACCGAAGGAAGUCUAGCGGCGAACGGGUGCUUAACACGUGGGCAACCUGCCAAGAAGUGGGGGAUAGCUCGCCGAAAGGCGAAUUAAUACCGCAUGUGAUUAGAGAGGACAUCCUUUCGAAAUUAAAGUCGGGGCAACCUGACGCUUUUUGUGGGGCGCGCGGCCUAUCAGCUAGUUGGUGAGGUAACGGCCCACCAAGGCUUUGACGGGUAGCUGGUCUGAGAGGACGACCAGCCACACUGGGACUGAGACACGGCCCAGACACCUACGGGUGGCAGCAGUCGAGAAUUUUUGACAAUGGGGGAAACCCUGAUCGAGCGACGCCGCGUGGAGGAUGAAGGUCUUCGGAUUGUAAACUCCUGUCAUUGGGGAACAAGGUGCAUAUGUUAACUGCGUGUGUAUUGAUAGUACCCGAAGAGGAAGAGACGGCUAACUCUGUGCCAGCAGCCGCGGUAAUACAGAGGUCUCAAGCGUUGUUCGGAUUCAUUGGGCGUAAAGGGUGCGUAGGCGGCGCGGUAAGUCGGGUGUGAAAUCUCGGGGCUUAACUCCGAAACUGCAUUCGAUACUGCCGUGCUUGAGGACUGGAGAGGAGACUGGAAUUUACGGUGUAGCGGUGAAAUGCGUAGAUAUCGUAAGGAAGACCAGUGGCGAAGGCGGGUCUCUGGACAGUUCCUGACGCUGAGGCACGAAGGUCAGGGGAGCAAACGGGAUUAGAUACCCCCGUAGUCC